rnacentral:rRNA from 1 species
AGGAUAAACGCUGGCGGCGUGCCUAACACAUGCAAGUCGAACGUCUCUUCUUUCGGGAAGAGGAGUGGCGGACGGGUGAGGAACACGUGGGAACCUGCCCUUCAGUGAGGAAUACCGGCGAGAAAUCGCCGACAAGACCGCAUAGCCCUCUCUGGUGAGAGCCAGAGAAGGAAAGCUUCGCAAGAGGCGCUGGAGGAGGGGCCUGCGUCCGAUUAGCUAGUUGGUGGGGUAAGAGCCUACCAAGGCGUCGAUCGGUAGCUGGUCUGAGAGGACGAUCAGCCACACUGGGGAUUGAGAACGGCCCAGACUCCUACGGGGGGCAGCAGUGAGGAAUUUUUCGGCAAUGGGGGAAACCCUGACCGAGCAACGCCGCGUGCAGGAAGACGGCCUUCGGGUUGUAAACUGCUUUCUUUGGGACGAGCAAGGACGGUACCAGAGGAAUCAGCCCGGCUCACUACGUGCCAGCAGCCGC